UACGUAGGGUGCAAGCGUUGUCCGGAAUUAUUGGGCGUAAAGAGCGUGUAGGCGGCCCGACCAGUCCGCUGUGAAAGUCCAGGGCUCAACCCUGGAAUGCCGGUGGAUACUGUCGGGCUAGAGUCCGGAAUGGGCGAGUGGAAUUCCUGGUGUAGCGGUGAAAUGCGCAGAUAUCAGGAGGAACACCAAUGGCGAAGGCAGCUCGCUGGGACGUGACUGACGCUGAGACGCGAAAGCGUGGGGAGCAAGCAGG
rnacentral:rRNA from 1 species